UUGAUCAUGAACAAUCAAAUAAUUUGGUCUCUUUCUUCAAUCACCAUUAUACUGUCUCUAGGAGAGUCAAAAAAGUUUCUUGUGGAAACGAUGGAUGACCAGCCUGAAGGUUAUAAAGGAGGAGCAAAUGGAGAUGACUACAGCCUUCCACUAUUUUAUGAGGCCUGGAAGGACCAAGAUGACUGCAAAACCAAAGUAGAGUGUCCUGGAAAAAGUCAUUGUUGGCAUGGAUUUUGCGUCCCAGUGGAUUCUUACCAAACACAGCAUGGUGGCGAUGAUGAAGAAGACUACUCCUCUACUCUAUCACCACUGAUCUGGGAUUUAAUUGGGAAGUGGUUAAUGCCACAUAUUUUCAUACAGUCAUAAUUGGACAACUUUACAAGUAUGAGUAAGGUGAUGAAGAAGAUGCCUCUACUACUUUGGCAACAGUGAACUGGGGACAUGAUAAAUGCAAGACAGCUUCAGACUGUCCUGAACCUUAUAAUU
rnacentral:misc_RNA from 1 species